UAUUUUAAUAAUUUUAUAAUUAUACAAAAAUACUUUGGGAAGAUUUCAAAAAAAAAAAAAAACAAUAACUUAUACUUUAAUACCAUUUUACUCACUUUGGGCUAUGAUUACCAUUCCAAUUCUACAAAAAUAAAAGAAGCCCAAACCUCCCAAACCCUCAUUUUCUAAUUAAGUAAACUUCUCCUAAAACCCUCCUACUGCCCUCUCCUUAUUACUCCUCUACUGCUUCCUCCUUUCCCCAUCCACAAUUCACGACACUCACAGAAAAAAAAAAAAUUCGCUGCUGCCCCUUCGUUGCUGCUGUCGCCUGCGUUGCUGGUGUCGCCGCUGCACUGCUGCUGCCACCGGCGACCCGUCGCUGCUGCUCGAACCACCAGCCGGAAGGGACUUCGUAAAAGGUGACUUCUAGCCUUAAAGUGGCCAACCAAUUUGUGUACUCAAGGUUAUUACAGGUUUUUGCAGGUUUUCUUGUAGAGAGAAUUAUUGGGGUGUUACAAGUUUUAUGAAGGACAAAGGGAAAAGGAAAGCUGACACUAAGGAAAAAAAGGAUUGGGUUGAAAAGAAAGUUGGUGUUUUUGCUAAAGGGAAACUAUUUCCUCUAAGGUUUUGGUUAGAUCAUCUAAUGGUUCCCUUUUGUUAAAGGAGCUAGAAGAUGAAGAGGAUACACACAAGAAUUGGAAGAGGGCUAGGAAGGAGAAGACAGAUUAGAGCAUUGCUUUGCCUUCAAUUUAUUAGACAAUAUUUUAAUUUCAAGUAUAUUUUCAAGCUUUUAUUUCAUUAAUAAUGUAAUUUCCAAUUACUAAUGCAAUAAUUAGCUCUUACUUUUCAAUAUUCCUUUAUUAUUGGGAAUAAUUUUUUAGCAAUGAAAACAA